rnacentral:snRNA from 1 species
AUACUAACGUGGCUUAGAACAUACCGUGAUCAAAAAGGCGGUGCUUCCAGAGAGCCAACCAUUGUACUGGGGCUAGUUUGACUUCGGCGAUUGUUCCAAAUGUGGGUAACUCGUGUGCAUAAUUUCUGAUAGUGGGAAUCUGCGUUUGCGCGUUUCUUC